GAUGAACGCUGGCGGCGUGCCUAAUACAUGCCAGUCGAGCGAACAGACGAGGAGCUUGCUCCACUGACGUUAGCGGCGGACGGGUGAGUAACACGUGGAUAACCUACCUAUAAGACUGGGAUAACUUCGGGAAACCGGAGCUAAUACCGGAUAACAUGUUGAACCGCAUGGUUCAACAGUGAAAGACGGUCUUGCUGUCACUUAUAGAUGGAUCCGCUCCGCAUUAGCUAGUUGGUAAGGUAACGGCUUACCAAGGCAACGAUGCGUAGCCGACCUGAGAGGGUGAUCGGCCACACUGGAACUGAGACACGGUCCAGACUCCUACGGGAGGCAGCAGUAGGGAAUCUUCCGCAAUGGGCGAAAUCCUGACGGAGCAACGCCGCGUGAGUGAAGAAGGUCUUCGGAUCGUAAAACUCUGUUAUUAGGGAAGAACAAAUGUGUAAGUAACUAUUCACGUCUUGACGGUACCUAAUCAGAAAGCCACGGCUAACUACGUG
rnacentral:rRNA from 1 species